GUUUCUUCUUGUGGCGAAACUUUAACAUUUUUUUGGCCGUGUGAAAAAUGUGUUUGAGAUUUUGAAGCUCGCCGUUCCAUCGAAUCAAUCACCCCAAAAAUCAUCUUCUGACCUAGGAAUUGAUUUUACGGGGAGGACGAUCUGCCGUUUGCCCAUCGAGAAACUUGUUCUCCAUUAAAAGUUUCAAUUGGAGAUGAACCCUCAAGUAGUUAAACGAAAAUGAGAUUGAC